rnacentral:misc_RNA from 1 species
GAUGAAGAACGUAGCGAAAUGCGAUAAGUAAUGUGAAUUGCAGAAUUCAGUGAAUCAUCGAAUCUUUGAACGCACAUUGCGCCCGCCAGUAUUCUGGCGGGCAUGCCUGUCCGAGCGUCAUUUCAACCAUCAAGCCCCCGGGCUUGUGUUGGGGACCUGCGGCUGCCCGCAGGCCCUGAAAACCAGUGGCGGGCUCGCUGUCACACCGAGCGUAGUAGCAAUCACCUCGCUCAGGGCGUGCUGCGGGUUCCGGCCGUUAAACAGCCUUACAAAACCCAAGGUUGACCUCGUAUCAGGUAGGAAGACCCGCUGAACUUAAGCAUAUCAAUAAGCGGAGGA